rnacentral:rRNA from 1 species
AUGUAUCCUAUUGCUUGGGCUGUUGUGGAGAAAGAAAAUUAUGAGUCAUGGUUCUGGUUUCUUGCCAAAAUAAACCAAGACUUGAAAAUAAGCAAUCAAGGAGAUGGAUAUGUAUUUAUGUUAGAUCAGCAUAAGGGACUUAUAGGCGCAAUGGAGGACAUUUUUCCUAAAGCUGAGCAUAGAAUGUGUGCAAGACACAUAUAUGCUAAUUGGAAGAAAAAACACCUAGACCAUGAUCUUUAG